rnacentral:rRNA from 1 species
GACGAACGCUGGCGGCGUGCUUAACACAUGCAAGUCGAACGGAAAGGCCCUGCUUUUGUGGGGUGCUCGUGUGGCGAACGGGUGAGUAACACGUGAGUAACCUGCCCUUGACUUUGGGAUAACUUCAGGAAACUGGGGCUAAUACCGGAUAGGAGCUCCUGCUGCAUGGUGGGGGUUGGAAAGUUUCGGCGGUUGGGGAUGGACUCGCGGCUUAUCAGCUUGUUGGUGGGGUAGUGGCUUACCAAGGCCUUGACGGGUAGCCGGCCUGAGAGGGUGACCGGCCACAUUGGGACUGAGAUACGGCCCAGACUCCUACGGGAGGCAGCAGUGGGGAAUAUUGCACAAUGGGCGGAAGCCUGAUGCAGCAACGCCGCGUGCGGGAUGACGGCCUUCGGGUUGUAAACCGCUUUCGCCUGUGACGAAGCGUGAGUGACGGUAAUGGGUAAAGAAGCACCGGCUAACUACGUG